rnacentral:tRNA from 14 species
GUUAAUGUAGCUUUAAAAUUAAAGCAAGGCACUGAAAAUGCCUAGAUGAGUGCUCCAACUCCAUAAACA